UUUGUUUUUGUUUUGAGCCCAGCUCCUGUGUCAGACACUGCACUAGGUUCGGUUCAGGGGAUUCCUGUCGCUGAGAAGUUCCUACUGAGUCACUCUCUAAAAACUAGGAAGAUGCAGGUUUUUAUGUAAACCACUACUCACUACCUGCAUGUGAUUUUGGAGUGCUCUGCUGUAAGGACAUUCUCCUGCCAGUUCUAAAAUGAGAGGAACUGCUCCAACAACAAGGAGAUGCUCAGGAUGCGGAUGCUUAGGAAGGAGCACAGUCUCCCCAGAGCAGAGCCUCUGCUGGUGUGAGCCUACACUCAACGAUGCAAAGCAACGGGAAAGAGGCAAGCUUCUGAGGAGUAGUGGGAAAACAGCAGCUAACAGGGCGCCUUGUGAAGCAAGUGACUGCAUUCAGUGAGUGUGGGGGGUUAUUGGUUGGCUUGCUUGCUUUUGCCUUUAUUCUCUGUCCAAAACCGAAUGCUGUAAGUCUUUGCUUAGCUGAGGCUAGUCACAGAAAACAGAAAACCAGUGAUUUGCUUUAACUAUGUCAUCUUAAUGGGCUAUAAACUGACAAAAGCAAAAGGACUCCUUAACAUUCAACAGGUGAUAGCUCAGUUGGAAACAAAGAAAAAACAUUUACAUGUAAAUUCAUUUAGUAGGCCUAUAAGUAUUAUCUACUUAAAUAGAUUUUAUUCCUUAAUGGACAAGCUACAUAGUACAUAUGUUUCUAAUCCUAAAUUAAUCGAUCACUACCAAAAGAAAGAUCAUUUGGUCACUUAGUUUUGGGAGGUCUUUUUCUAAGUGUUGUGUCAUCAUCACUGAUGGGAGGGAAAUUUAACCAGACACUUCUUGAGCCUGGAAAUCAUUCAGAAUCUCUGGCCCAGUAAUCUUCUCUCUAGGAAUCCAAUUUAUAGAAAGAAUUAGAUAUACAGAAAAGAUAUAUGUACCAUAUGUUCACGAGUACUAUCAUAGCAAAAAUAAUAGUUAUAAAAUUGUGUUUUGUCAAAAGAAUUGAAUAUGGAGAAAUCAUUAAACAGCAUGUUUUCAAAGCCUCCUGUUUUGGAAAUAUAUAACAUAUAUUUAUUUAUAAUUUAUAAUAUAAUUUAUUAACAAAAAUAAAUAGGAUGUAAAACUUUAUAAUAAAAAUGUCAUAUGUAAGAUACACAGUAUGACAUAUCUAUUACAUAUUUAAUAACACCUAUAUAUUACAUAUAUCAUAUAGAAAAACAUCUGGAAGGAAAUACACUAAAAAUGCCACCAGUAGUUUUCUCUAGGUAGUGGGAUUUUGCAUGGCUUUUAUUUUCUUAAUACUGCUUUUCUGUUUAUUGAGGUUCCCAAAUAAGCCUGAAGAGCCACCAAGAAGAAGGAAUACGCUGGCCUGGUCAUCACGUAGUUCCUAUGACAAUGAUACAUACAACUCCAAAAUAUUUGACAUUAUUUUUAAUAUCUUAACAUAAAUAGUGGCAAAAAAAAAAAAAAAAAGAAAAACCACAAUGAUGAAAACUUUGGCAAGUACGGAAAAGUAAAAAUAGUGGGGAAAGAAUCCCACCAGUCAGAGGGAAAUGUGAUUAAUAUCCCGUGACUAAGUCAGUAGCUUUGAGCUGUGCCAUCAAAAGACCUCAGGAGCUGUCCCCGUGGAAGGUAGGGACUGACUAGGUCCUCCUAUCCA
rnacentral:lncRNA from 1 species